rnacentral:lncRNA from 1 species
GAUUGGGUAGCUGAUGAACUCGGAGUGCUUCUUGAUCAGAUCCUUGAGGCGGCGCUCCUCAAGGUACUCCAACUGCAGAAAAUAAAAGUCAUAUAUAUUGUAAGAACGAGUCCAGACCUAUAAAUAGCCAAACAGUAAAAAUAAGUAGCAGUGUCUAGCAGAUACAUCAUAUACAUGCACACACAAACUCUUCUUCGAAUGUUCAGUGCAACAGCAAGUGAAAAUAUAUUUUUUAAUCAGUGCCCAGUGGUUGAACCUAAUUACCUGUUCACUUGAACAACUCUAAACAGAACAGUUAUUAUCAUAUCUUCGUACAUAACUUAAUAUCAUAUCAAUGCUCAAUUCUGAAUACGUGCCCACCAGAUUUAAAACAAAAAGAAACAUUUUUCUAAUAAUCAAAUUAAUGAAGGGAACUAUAUCAUUCAACAGCAAUAAACAAAAAACUAGUUCCUGAUAAUCCUACGAUGAACCAAUCAACCAUAAAUUUAAGGCAACCACUGAUCACUUUUACCAUCCACAUUUACAGUCAAAAUCAGUCAGUCAUUUUCGUUUCAUAUUUCUACAUUUGGUCAACCUAACAGAACAUAAGCACAAUUUCCAUAGUAGCUUAGAAAUAAACCCACUAUCCACAUAAUAGGUAAGGGAUUUCAACAAAGCUACUAUAGCCAAAAGGCAUUGGCAGUGCAAUCCAUGAGCGCUAUGUUAAACAGUAAAUAACCAACCAUGGCUGCAUGGCAAUAGAAACUAACACACUGACAUGCAAAAACAUGAUCCAAGUAUAUUUCUGCUAUACCUGAUCAUCCUUGAGGUAGAGGGUCAUCUUUGUACCCCUGCCAAGUUGCUCCCCAGAGGUAUCACGUGCGACAGUGAAGGAGCCACCAGCCUGAGACUCCCACACGUACUGCUCAUCAUCAUUGUGCUUAGUGGUCACGACAACCCUCUCUGCAACAAGGUAGGCAGAGUAGAAACCGACACCAAACUGGCCAAUCAUGGACACAUCAGCACCAGCAGCAAGUGCCUCCAUGAAUUCCUUCGUGCCUGACCGCGCAAUGGUACCAAGGUUGUUCACAAGGUCUGACUUGGUCAUACCAAUGCCGCUGUCGAUGAUUGUCAGCGUGUUGUUGGCCUUGUCGGGGACA